GGGGCUAUGGUGUAGCUUGGCUAUCACUCAACGUUUGGGGCGUUGCAACCCGUGUUCGAAUCACGGUAGCCCCA
rnacentral:tRNA from 1 species